AAAAAAAAAAAAAAAAACAACUUGCGAACUUCAGAUAGAAGGAAAAUAACAGAGAGACCAAUGAAUUGUCAUUGAACUAAGCACAUUUGUUUUGUUUCAACAAGAAGACGAGAAUACAGAAUACGCGGCGAAGAGAAAAUCAUAAUGAAGAAAUAGACAAAAUUGUGCCAAACAGUAAUCCAAGUUCUACCACAAGAGCAUAUUGAACUCUCCAUCCCACUAAACUACAUAGAACUAAUCAGUCAGCAGCUGUUUCUUAACCAAACAGCUGCAAUUCAAACAAAUACAUGAAUCCCUGAGAAAGACUUUGGCAAAUCCCUUUCAUUCAUCAAGAAAAAACAGUUCAAUGACCUAAAUUGUGAAAUCAAAAGGAAGAACAGCCAACUUGUUCCAAUACAUUUACAGACAUCACGUAAUCUAAGCAGUCCUAAUAUAAAAAAUGGUAAAAUCUCGCAGUUUAACACUAAUGUUCUACCCAAAAAAAAAAAACCCUAAUUGAAUGAGACAAUUCGCAAUAUGACGCCUGUAGAAUAGUCUUUAGCAAAUAAAAUAAUAAUCUAAAGCGAGAAGGAAACAUAGGAGACA
rnacentral:misc_RNA from 1 species